CAUAGAUACCAACGUGACUCUGUGUAUCCGUUAUGCUCCGGUGAAUAAAUAUGUGCAGUGGUUUAUACGUCAGCUAUGGAGCUUGACAUGGAAAAAAGAUAAUAAAAUGGAAGUUAGUUAAUCUGAUUUCGCGCGUGAAAUUGGUAUGAUAUUUCGGGCAUUAGCAAUUAUAAAAAAAAGAAAAUAUAUAGAUAUUUUUGUGAUCUAGUUUCCUGCAAUCAUUACGAGCCCGAUAUAAUUGCCGGGGAAUGAGAGCGCUAUUACCGUCACGACAGAUUUACACAUGAGACACUUUUGUUUCCGCGAGUUUUUCAGGCAGUUUUCCCCGCUGCUUUUACCCUAUUGUUUCUUUUAUGGGCAUUCGUCGCGGAGUUUUGGGUCAUCCGCACGACCUUGCGAGCCUCAUACGCCGAUAAUUUUGAAAAUUUGGGGUCUAAAGACCAGUAGAUGCAGCAAAUAUUGAUAUUUAAAUUUUUGAAAUGUUCUUUGUCGGUUAUUUUUCCCUCGGAGAGUGAACACAGUCGCUAUCCACGCAUUGAAAUCACUGCUCGCCUCGGAUGUUGACGUGAAGUCUCCGCGAGUCAACUUGAUCCAGUAACUGAGCGCACCAGAAGUUGAAAGCCAGAAGGCUGAAGAGAAAGGCAGUUUUGUGUCUUACUCCGGUGAAAGUGAUUUCAAGGCACUUAUCAGCAAGGAGACCAUUAUCCCCGGCGCGAUCCAACAUCCUCAACAAGUACGGUCACUGUCUGCUGAUGAAGAAACAUGAAAUCCCUUCUUCGGAGAGGUCAUGCAACCUGAGUUCAAUACUCUCUCACAUCUGCGGCAAUUCUUGAAUAAUUUUAUUUCUCCAGUGCAUUGCAUACCGUGAAACAGAGGUAAAACAUAAAUAUGUAAUGUGCAAAAAGAUGAAAUUUUAUUUUGACGCAUUGGGCAUAAAUUAAGAAAACACCAGCGAGAUACAACUGAUUCGUUUUAUUGUAAUGAUUAAAUGCGAUAAAAAUAUAUAAAUGCUGAGA